rnacentral:lncRNA from 1 species
CUAAAUUAAAACUUCCUCAGAAUGACUUGAUUUACCAAAGCUUGACUUGUCAUCAAAGAAGACUGGUGAGUUUUCCUAAAGAAAUUCCUCAGAACCACACUUUGCUUUGCCUAUAGUAACUAGACACUGAAUUCAAUGAUGUCUUGCUAUGAUAACAAGACAGAGAAUCAGAUGGAGAGAGAUAUAGAUGGACAGAAAUAGAGAUAAGGAGGGAGUGUGGUUACUGUUUCUCUGAUAUUAAAAGGCCAGUCCAAUAUACCUUGGAUCUAUUACUAAGUUACUUUUGAACAAUACUUUUAUGGUUUUUCAAAGCAUUUUCAUGAAAUAUCUUGCUCAUUUGUUCCUGUCCCACAACAGCCCUGUGAUACUGCUACAGAGGGUAUUCCUUUUGACAGACAAGGGAGAAAAUCUUUGGCCCAUUCAUGAAAUCUCAUGGGCAGAGACAAAGGACAAGAGGACUGUGAAUAAGUAUACGACCUGGAUGAAUGAUUUCACUGAAUAA